UACGAAGGGGGCUAGCGUUGUUCGGAAUUACUGGGCGUAAAGCGAACGUAGGCGGUGUUCCAUGUCAGAGGUGAAAGCCUGGGGCUCAACUCCAGAAUUGCCUUUGAAACGGGGACGCUUGAGUCCGAGAGAGGGUGGCGGAAUUCCUAGUGUAGAGGUGAAAUUCGUAGAUAUUAGGAAGAACACCAGUGGCGAAGGCGGCUCACUGGCCCGGUACUGACGCUGAGGUGCGAAAGCGUGGGGAGCAAACAGG
rnacentral:rRNA from 1 species